GACGAACGCUGGCGGCGUGCCUAAUACAUGCAAGUUGAGCGAUGAAGAUUGGUGCUUGCACCAAUUUGAAGAGCAGCGAACGGGUGAGUAACGCGUGGGGAAUCUGCCUUUGAGCGGGGGACAACAUUUGGAAACGAAUGCUAAUACCGCAUAACAACUUUAAACAUAAGUUUUAAGUUUGAAAGAUGCAAUUGCAUCACUCAAAGAUGAUCCCGCGUUGUAUUAGCUAGUUGGUGAGGUAAAGGCUCACCAAGGCGAUGAUACAUAGCCGACCUGAUAGGGUGAUCGGCCACAUUGGGACUGAGACACGGCCCAAACUCCUACGGGAGGCAGCAGUAGGGAAUCUUCGGCAAUGGACGAAAGUCUGGCCGAGCAACGCCGCGUGAGUGAAGAAGGUUUUCGGAUCGUAAAACUCUGUUGGUAGAGAAGAACGUUGGUGAGAGUGGAAAGCUCAUCAAGUGACGGUAACUACCCAGAAAGGGACGGCUAACUACGUG
rnacentral:rRNA from 1 species